GCCGGAGGGUGCAAUCGUUGUUCGGAAUUACUGGGCGUAAAGCGCGUGUAGGCGGCUUGCUAAGUCUGAUGUGAAAGCCCGGGGCUCACCCCCGGAAGUGCAUUGGAAACUGGCGAGCUCGAGUCCCGGAGAGGAGGGUGGAAUUCCUGGUGUAGCGGUGAAAUGCGUAGAUAUCAGGAGGAACACCGGUGGCGAAGGCGGCCCUCUGGACGGUGACUGACGCUGAGACGCGAAAGCGUGGGGAGCAAACAGG
rnacentral:rRNA from 1 species